AUGGCAAAGCCUAUGUUUUGUUCCGCUCCAGAGCAAAGAAACGUCCAGAAAAAUGUGAACCGUAAUGUGGACCUGUCUGCCGAAAAUCUCAUUAGAGUUUCAGACCCAGCUGCCAGUGGAUCAACCUGUCCUGGAGCAAUCCCGCAAGGCAAAUCACAGUCCGCAUCUUUAGGAAAGAAAGCUGACAAACCACACCACACGAGCCGAGUCCAGACCAACUUCUCUUGUCCGGACUGGCUUUUAGGAGAUCUCUCCAGCCCUUCUCCCUCCCAGAAGCAAAGCAACCUCGCAUGCAAGCUGCAGAGGCAUGGAUCGGAAAACGGGUCACGGAUCGCCGGCCCUCCCCUUCUUCCUGCUGGACUCUGCUCACACUCGGGCCAGCCGGGUUUGAAGAGAGACCCCCUGAAAAAACUGCCCUGUCGACAUCACACUGCUCGGCGUACCUGCCCUUCUUCCUCCGAGGUCCGAAUACAAGGCAAGGACCCCCAGGCGCUGAAACAAUCACAGGGUCCUACUUCUGUGCCAAGAAGAAGGGGUGGAAAUCUUUACAGCCAGGGAGGUGCCUCCUUUCCAUCCCAGCGGUCAGAGGUAUCAUCCUUUCCACACCACCCUCAUCCUUCUGUUUGGUGUCCCGAAAGAAACGCGGAUCCUUCCCCGGCCCUUACCGUAGACCAUCUGGACACUUCUCCUCCAUCGGAGAGGCGUCCUUCUUCGGCAGCGUUCCAGGCCCUCCUGCGGUCCUCUCAAACCUCUGCCGAGCUUCACGGUUCCCUCCGGCGGCUGGAGGAGCAACUCGCCAUGGGGGCCUUAGGGUCUUCCCCCUGGGAAUCUAAAUCUCCCCGGCCUUACAGAUCAAGGAGCAACCCCCGGGCAUCCACCUUGGGGACGCCGAGCCUGGCGGAGUGGCUGGCCGAGGAGCAGAGUUACGCGAAGCACGCCAGGGCGAAAUGGCACCCCUCCUUCCGUGGUGACUGGAGGCCCGGCCCUACGAGCGACGGAACUGGAGAUCAUGACGGCGCCUCCUUUCUGACCGGGUUCAACGACUUUGGGUUGUACGCAUCCUCCGUGGACCCUCGGGACGGCUCUCCUUCGGCAGGUUUCUACAGCCAGGUUGGGGCCACCUCGUUGGGUCAAGGAGAAGACCUUGCCUCCAGCCGUUCCGUUCUUUUCGAACCCGGCUCGCGACCCCGUUGGGCCCUAGAAAGGAAGAGAACCUGGAGCGACCCCAAGGAAAGGGGGCUGGAUGACCCUUCUGCUGGGACCUCCUGUCCCUCCAAGGGAGGUCCUGAGAGCCUUCCCUCCGGUCUUCUCUCCGUGGAGGAUCUGGAGAUCUCCCUCAAGACGUUGGGUGCCAAGGCUUCGCUGGACACAGGGGUUUCCUUGUUCGACACCCCACGGGAAGUGCCCUUGAGGGUCGGUUCUCUCGGUGGCCUGGAGAUCAUGUCUGCCCGCUGGCUUCACCAUCGCCCCAAAGACCUGGACGUUGGUGAACCUCAAGGUCAGGCAGGAGACACCGGAAGAAACCCAUCCGUUGCCAAUUGGGUAGGGGAGUAUGGCUCGUUCUUGGCUCACCGGAGACUCAGUCCCUUUGGGGCCGCUGCCAGGGAAGGUCUCCGGGAAGGUGCGCGAAUGGCCGGCAGGGCGAAUGUGGUGGAUUUCAUCGACCCCGUUGGUGGAACGGCAGACGGCUCCUCAAAUUCCUCCCACUGUGGUCCACGGACCGGUGAGGGAGGGGAUCCAAAGCAGGACUCUUGCAUCCAUCCGGCUCGGCCAAACGAUGACCUCUUGGGUCGUAAGGAGAGUGAUCACGCCUUAGACGCCGUACAAGAGGAGGUAGGUUUCGCCUCUAGAAGGUUUGAAGCCUCGCCGAUGGAACCGUGA
rnacentral:lncRNA from 1 species